rnacentral:lncRNA from 1 species
CAAAAGCCUCGCAAUAUUGCAAGGAACUUGCGAGAACACUUCGAAACCCCUGUCUAAACCUCAAACGAAACCUAAAGACAUUAAAAAAAGAUUUUGCAAUGGAUUUGCGAUGAAACACGAUAAGUCUCUCGCAAAACACUUGCAAUUUUGCAAGGGAUAACCGUUGCAAUUCGCUUGCAAAUUGCAAGGAUUUUGUGACGGAAAUUAGGUUAAUAAAUAAACACACUUAACCUUUCCUCUCCAUUUCACUCUGCCGUCAAAGAAAAAAUAAAAAGAAAACCUCUCUGAUCCGAUCUCCUCUCUGUCUCCCGCCUCUCCUCUCUUUCUCCCUGUGGUCUCUCCUCUCCGCCUCUCCCUCGCCGUGUCCCGCCUCUCUCCGCCCUCUCCCCGCCUCUCCUUCUUCCCGUGGUCUCUCCCUUGCCGUGUCCUCUCUCCUCCGCCUCUCCCUCGCCGUGUAUUCUCUCUCUCCGCCGCUCCCCGCCUCUCCUUCUCCCCGUGGUCGCUCCUCCCCGCCUCUCCCUUGCCGUGCCCUCUCUCCUCCGCCUCUCCCUCGCCGUGUAUUCUCUCUCUCCGCCGCUCCCCGCCUCUCCUUCUCCCCGUGGUCGCUCCUCCCCGCCUCUCCCUUGCCGUGCCCUCUCUCCUCCGCCUCUCCCUCGCCGUGUAUUCUCUCUCUCCGCCUCUCCUUCUCGCCGCUGCCUCGCCGGAUCUUCGCCUCAACCUUGCCGGA